rnacentral:rRNA from 1 species
UACGUAGGGUGCAAGCGUUGUCCGGAAUUAUUGGGCGUAAAGAGCUCGUAGGCGGUCUGUCGCGUCGGAUGUGAAAACCCAGGGCUCAACCCUGGGCCUGCAUUCGAUACGGGCAGACUAGAGUUCGGUAGGGGAGACUGGAAUUCCUGGUGUAGCGGUGAAAUGCGCAGAUAUCAGGAGGAACACCGGUGGCGAAGGCGGUGAUCUGGGCCGACACUGACGCUGUAGAGCGAAAGCGUGGGGAGCGAACAGG